rnacentral:tRNA from 1 species
ACCUGGCUGGCUCAGUUGGCAGAGCAGGAAACUCUUGGUCUCUGGGUCAUGAGUUCGAGCCCCAUGUUGGGUG